UGGAGAAUUUAUAACUGUUUUUUUCUUUCCUUUCUUAUUUUAUUUCAUGCUCCUUUUGCAUUUUUGGAAUUAGCGUAGAUGAUUAAAAAGAGAACAAAUGGUAUUUCCUCCUGGAAUUACAUGAGUUUCAGAAUUUCAGGGGGGCACAAACAUACACCUCACAGACAGAACACAGAUGAAGAACAACCUUGCCCGAACUGUGAUUCGAACCCGGGACGCCCAGAUCUCGGGGAAGAUGCGCUACCGCAAUGCAAGGACGCCGGCAGAAAUUGCAAUACAUUUUUAAAAUGAUUUUCAUUCCUCCUUCUUCUUAAGAAACUUGCAAGCAGUGGUAUUAUUCAUAUCCAUUUCAUGUCAAAUUGGCAAUGUCUUUAAAGAAAAUUGAAAUGAAAAAGCAAAAGAGAAAAUUUCCUUCCCCC